CACAGCCUGCUGUGUGGUGGCAGGGGAUGGAGAGCCUCAUCAUUCCACCUGGCCCGGGCUGCCCUACACGAAAAGAGAUGGGGAAAGGAGCUGCAUCCAACAUGCCGCUGUCAGUGCUGUGCCUCGAGGUCACACACGGUCACACCAUUGAGUUUGUGAUGGUGACAAACCAGAGCCCAAAAAGAACAAGCAACAGACAGAGUUUUUCUCCUGAACUUCAGCCCAUGACACUCUUGUUCAUUUCUAAUCAUCACAAAUGGCUGGAGGUAUCAAUGGGCUCCAGCCAGAGCAAUAGGUAAAGAAGCUGAAGGACAGGUGGCCUUCCAAGCAGGAAGAUACCAGCUGCUCCCUUACAACAGUCCAAUUCUCUACUGGUACACAGCCCCACAGACAUCUCAUCAGUGCUCUUUUGCUGAUGGGAGAGAAGCCAGCGGCCAUACAGCAUCAGUCAGUUUGUUCCAGCAGAGGCUAAGCAGGUGUCAAUUCGGUCAUAAAUGCCAUGUUGCUCUAAGCACAUAUGCCAAAGAUGCUGAAGCCAAAGGCCUUUCCUCUUCCUACCAUGCCAAAUGAACAUCUCAUGUAAUAAAUGAGCAGGUCUUCAGAUUAAUUGUUCUCAGUAUGAACAAACAGAAAUGCAAUUUAAUUCAGCAUCAAAUGGUUGAGGUCUGCUGUUCAUCCUCCACCGCUAGGAAACCGGAGCAGAGAACACAGAUGAGGCAGAUCACAGUGGUAUAGUAGUAAUUCCUUCCAAAGUUAAUUUCUGCCUUGUUUUUUCCACUAUUCUCUUAUUUAAAGGACACGCACUUGGAGAAAAUAGCCCUUAGUCUGCAAAGAAAGAAGAGAGAACAUUGGGCUGAGGAGCUACUCUUCUCACACCAAAAUGACUGGGGUCACACCAGAUGCUUGCCCAGCAUCAGUUGGAUGGGAGAUGUCUGGUCAACCACCAUCAACAUCAGUUCAGUCAGGCUGAUUUUGGACGGAAGUGGGUUACAGCAAGCUCUUAUGCCAGGUGCUGUAGGCAUGUGAAGCUUCAAAACACUGUAAUGAAAGGAACAUCUUAGAAUUGCAACUUCAACAACUCAAUCUGCUUUUGAAGACACACAUUUUCAUCCUAGAAGUAAACUGUCAAGCUUGUACCAGAAGCUGAUGGAGGACACAGAAGUUGGCUUUCAGAUGACAAGGCUUUUCAGAUUCACGCAUCCUCUGAGCCUCCCUGAGUCUGCUGAGACCAUAGAGAAAUGCAUUUAAUUCAGUGAAUUCAGUGAGGUCCUUACUGCAUCAUGAAGAUACAAAUCUAAGGUGUGCUCAGAACACAACAAAACAUUCUUAACAGGUACCUUUAAAGUAAAGAGACAGAAGAGGUAUCUGAAAUGCCCCAAAAGUGAUAUCUGUUCACCUGACACAAACCAGGAUCCAGUCUGUGAAAUCCCAACUCCACCAUCCAUGGAGGUGAAGGAAUAAAAACAAGAGCUGAAUCCUCAUUUGAAAAUAUUGCAGUUCACUCAUUUCACUUCAGUUUUCCUGAUGUAUUUUCCAGUUCUCAUCUGGCCGUUUCUUCGUGCCCUAAAGAGUACUAGCUAGAUGACAGUUUUCCAGAAGGCUUCCCCCCAUUCCCAAGCCGAGCAGAUUUCAAAUGCUGGAAGUAUCCUGGUUCUGAAGCCUGUGUCCUGAAGGAAGCGAAGAAAGACAGUCUACCUUACAGACAUGAUCUCAAACAGUGAGAUCUGUGAAAAACAGAUGGGUCUUGCUUCAGUUGGGGAAAAAAUAGCAGUGCUGUUUAUAACAAUGGCUUUAUUUUUCUCCAUUGGAGAGAUUUGAAAUGCAGAAUAGUCAGCAUUCCACAGUUUCUGCCCACAAGCAAGUAUGAGAUGACUCCAAGAUGCUUUGCUUCCUUGUAAUCCAGAAGCUUUCUAAUGAGAAGCCAAAUUUCUGAAAACUGGAGAUGCUGCAGCACACACAACCCUUGGAGAGGAACCUUGUAAAGCCAAGUGGAAGUGGAAUUAAAUCAGGCUGCGCUGGAAACUGAUAUGAACCUAUAGCAAUGAACAGAGUGUCUGUUUCAAAUAAAUAGUUAAAACUUAAAAAUACUAAAUUUUCCAGGAGAUGAUCCCAUAACCAACGCUAGAAGGUGUUUUUCAGCCUCUGAUUAAACUAUGUGUCUUUACAGGCAUUUGGAUACACUACAAUCAUUUAAAAAAUUCUUCUCAUUAUAAAGCAUGUGCAGAAAUAUUUGCUGAGGCAUGUUUCUGCAGCUUUUUUGAUGCAUCAGUUUUCUACUGUAAGUAAAAAUGUAGCCUGCAUUCAGUGAUUAGCUGUCAGGGAGGAGAGAGAAGGGAAGGAGCUGCACAAGUGCAUUUCAGCCGACUUCUACCACUAAGGACCUAAGAACAGUAAUCCAAACCAGAUGUAGGGAAAAAAUGAGAGACACAUAAAUAUGGUCAUUCUAAUGCCUGUUUGAUUUCCCACACUCAUAAGCACUUUACUGAUGAAAAUUCCAGUGUGUUCAUGAGGCAAAGAUCUGUGUUCAUAUUCAUUUCUGCCCCAUUCCUUGCUACGUUUGCACAUAAAUGUCUGUUCCUUUCUCUUCUCUGGGAGCUUUGUGGAGGGCUUGUCCUUUCCUUUCACACUGUUUCUUUUCCCAUUUUCUCCUUCUUAAUGAUCUUCUUUUAGUUUCUUCUGUGCAUUCGUGUACAUUGCUUGUGCUCAGCUACUUGGUCAGGGGUGCAUUGCAGCAGUGUUUCAGCCCACACUUGGAGUGCCCCCCUAACAUCGUUCAUCUGAUUAUCCACCCCUCCUCACUGUCAUUUGCUUCACCUAAAGAAUAGCAUAAAAUCAACUGAAUCCCCCUAAGCUGAUUCUCCCCUAAGAAAUAUGCACUCCAGCUGCUAGUGAGCAGUCAAUGUUUGGGAUAUAACCAAAGUUUAUCCAAGGUGUAAAUGGCUGAAGCACACACAGUGUGGUCUUCACCACAUUUUGCUCUGUGAAACCAACCCAGAGCACUUCAUCAAGCACUAACAGGACACAGCAAACACCAGGUGUGCCCAUACUCUUAAGGCCACUCUGUGCCCUAUGAAAACAUCUGCCGGCUCAUACCCAUGCUUUGUCAGUGAGCCGUUCUUUCCUGCUUCUUCCUCAAAAUAUCCCCUUUGCAGAGAGAGCAGCUCAUCCACAAUCUCCCCUGCUUGCAGCUGCCUGCUGAGGACAGGAGGUGUCUGUGAGCUGCCAGGAAGGGGAUGGCACGGGGACCCCAGCAUCCCUGGCCCUUUCACAGUUUGAAUAAUUGUUCCUUCAUGGCACAGCAGCGAAACACUGGUUUGUGUUUCAGCGAAGCACAGCUCUGCUGUUUUGGUCUGAAAGAAGAAAUGUUUUCAGUCUCCGCACAGUCUGGCUCUUUGCAUUUCAGACAAACAGACUCGUGAAGAUUACUUAAUUCUUCUUCACUCAGACUGUUGCAAAGCACUGAGAAGGCUCCCCCUGCCCACAGGGGGACCUCUCAGCCCCCACUGCUCUUCGUCUCUGUGAUAUCUCAUGCUUCUAAGACUCAGUCACCUUCUACAUCCUACUUCACUCCUGUCUUUGCCAGGAGCAAAUGCUGGUGCAGGAGGCUCUGAGACCACCACCAUCUCCUGCAGGGACAGGUACUGACUGCCCCGGUGGCUGUCCAGAAUCAGCAAUGAGCUCUGCUUCAAAACUGUUGCUGUCAGGUUUCUAUGAUUUUAGCCUGUGGCUUCUGCAACACACUGGUAGCUCUUGGCAGCCUGAGGCAAGCCUCAGCAUUGUUGCAGCACACAAAUAUUAUCAUCUAGGAAAAGAGCCAUUCUUCUGGCCUCUGUCCCAAUGCACUUGUUUUGUAAUAUGUGUCAUGACUAAGCAUCAGAAAUUAGCAAAACAGUGGGAACAAAAACCAAAAGUUUUGAGCCAAAUGAAAGGCACUUCUGGUAUUCGGUUUGUGAAUUUGCACUCUCAAAUUAAAUGACCAGUGGAGAGGGCAGAAUAAAACCGAAGUGUGGGAGCUUGUAAUGCAGACUCCACCAACACAGGCAUCCGUUCCAAGCUCUGCGUGGUUUUUUAUGUGCGCACACUCUAAAUUACAAAAUCCAAGAACAAAACCUAACAAGAAGAUGUAUUUUGACACUGAUGUUAAAGUGAGUCAUGUAGAGUUAUCCAUAUUUUCUGCAUUAAGCACAUUAAGACACUGACAUUUCUUUGAGAAUAACUAAAUAGAUGACAAUGCCAUCACAUCCAGAAGACCGAACAAGCAUUUCUAUUCACAGAUGGCAGAGUGGGAGGUUUUUUCAAAGAUGGACAAAGAAAUAUGCAGAAAUACGAAUAGAUGGGAAAGAAAAUAGGGCAAUUUGUUUGAAAACAGUCACUCAGAAACAUAAUGGUGUUGAAUGGGCAUUUUUUUUUCCUUUAACGCAUUAUCAGAAAGGUGAUAAGAAUAUGUUAUUAUAUUCUUAUCAUCUUAUUAGUAGAUUAAAUUCUAUUUGUAUGUUUCAUAUUUAUGUGAAAACUUUACCUGAAGCGCAGAUAGUUGCAAUUACAACUCCAUAUUCCACUGUCCCAUGGGCAGUGACUAUCAUGAAUAUCAUUCAGAAACAUAUCAGCCCUUUUGUCAGCAAGAGAGAAGGUGAGGGUGAUGAAAGGCUGUGAGAUCCAGCUCAUCUUGCACAGAGCCAUCAUGGUGCAAUAUGGGCUGUAAAGCUCCUCGUGCCCAGGGGCUUUGGUUGACGUCAGCCUUCAGAUCUGUGUGUCCAUCAGGGCUUGGGGAGAGGAAACAGAUUUGCACCUCCCUAGUAAUAGGAGUGUUAUCCAGCUGUGAUUAUGUAGUACAUAUUUCACUGGACUUUGAACCUGUAAUCCACAGCUUUGUAGAGGCACCUGUAAUGUAAUUGCAAGCUGGUACAUCUGAUUUCAAAGAUCACUGAUAAUUUUGCUGUUCUACUGAUUUCUUUCUAGCGUGAUCAUUAAUUAAUAAACUUCUUAAUCAGUUUGCAUCAA